GACAGCUCAGUGGCUUAAUAAUUAACAUUCUGGGGACUGAGACUUUGUUUUUAUCCAAGAAAAAUGUGUUCAGCCUAUCCAUCAGUGAGUCCUGUUGGCAGCAUUGUAUGUCCACAAGCAAAAAUCUACAAAGAUUAAAUGACUGGGCAGAGCAAACUGAGACACAAGAAAGUUAUCCACAGACAUUCAGAAAGUUGCUGGCAGAAUUCACCUGGAGCCUGGGAAUCCUGAUGUCCGUCCCUGUAAUUAACCCAUGGCACUUCUGGUCACAGUUAUCCUUUUGCUGAAUAUAGGAUUGUUCCAGGAGUAUUGAAGCUCCUUUGUGAUAAGGAUCAGCCCUGCACAGAAUGAAGCCUCCUGAAACGGAACUGCAUAAAGACACAAUUAACUGCAAACUCUUGGCUUCUGAAACUGAAAGCAGGAUCAGCGAGACAUUGGUUCUGUUAAUCUGAGAAUAUUUUGAGAACUUGGGGGACAAUGCUGGCUCAAGA